GAAAUCUACCGAUAGGUUGGGGGAUACGCCCCGGGAAACUGGGAGUAAUCCGCCAUAUCUUUAUGAGACGGCAUCGUUUUAUAAAGAAGCUGAGGCGACUAUUGAUGAUCGUGCGUCUGAUUAGGUAGUUGGUAGGGUAACGGCCUACCAAGCCGACGAUCAGUAGGGGGCGUGAGAGCGUGACCCCCCACACGGGUACUGAGACACGGACCCGACUCCUACGGGAGGCAGCAGUAAGGAAUAUUGGUCAAUGGGCGAAAGCCUGAACCAGCCAUCCCGCGUGCAGGAUGAAUGCCCUAUGGGUUGUAAACUGCUUUUAUCUGGGAAUAAACCACUCUAUUUAUGGGGUGUUGAAGGUACCAGAAGAAUAAGCACCGGCUAACUCCGUG
rnacentral:rRNA from 1 species